GCGAAUGAGGCUGCGUGUGGCGCCGGCGUCGUCAGGCGUCCCGGCGGACACUCUGCGGCGGUUGUCUGACCCCUCCGUGGGAAGUACGUACUGCUGCGGGACUGUCCCGCUGGGCCCGGCUGCAUUGAUGCCGGGGCCGGGCCAGCACCGGUUCCAAGCUGCGGGAGAAACGUUCGGCUGGGUAGCUCGUCGGGGUGGUUCCCGCCUUGCCGAUGGCCUGCCGAAACUGCUGCCCGCCUGGAACCGAGGCGAGUUGGCAUCCCUUGCCCUUGCGGUGUGCGCCUGAGGGCUGGACGGCGUUGCUGCACUGCCGGGCCUCCCCUGGACUGCUUGCAGUGCCGGGGAUGUGCCCUGCCGGUGGUGCUGGAACGUGCGGUCGCAAUGU
rnacentral:misc_RNA from 1 species